UACGGAGGGUGCGAGCGUUGUCCGGAAUCAUUGGGCGUAAAGGGCGCGUAGGUGGCGGGACAAGCGUGCGGUGAAAGCUCGGGGCUCAACCCCGAGUCGGCCGUGCGAACUGUCUUGCUUGAGCACUGUAGAGGCAGGCGGAAUUCCGGGUGUAGCGGUGGAAUGCGUAGAUAUCAGGAGGAACACCGGUGGCGAAGGCGGCUUUCUGGACAGUAACUGACGCUGAGGCGCGAAAGCUAGGGGAGCAAACAGG
rnacentral:rRNA from 1 species